rnacentral:rRNA from 1 species
UACGGAGGAUGCGAGCGUUAUCCGGAUUUACUGGGUGUAAAGGGAGCGUAGACGGUGAUGCAAGUCAGAAGUGAAAGCCCGGGGCUCAACUCCGGGACUGCUUUGGAAACUGUAUAGCUGGAGUGCAGGAGAGGUAAGUGGAAUUCCUAGUGUAGCGGUGAAAUGCGUAGAUAUUAGGAGGAACACCAGUGGCGAAGGCGGCUUACUGGACUGUAACUGACGUUGAGGCUCGAAAGCGUGGGGAGCAAAAAGG